rnacentral:rRNA from 1 species
UACGUAGGCAGCAAGCGUUGUUCGGAAUUACUGGGCGUAAAGAGUGUGUAGGCGGUGCUCUAAGUUCGGUGUGAAAUCUCCCGGCUCAACUGGGAGGGUGCGCCGGAAACUGGGGUGCUGGAGCGCGGGAGAGGAGAGCGGAAUUCCUGGUGUAGCGGUGAAAUGCGUAGAUAUCAGGAGGAACACCGGCGGUGUAGACGGCUUUCUGGACCGUAGCUGACGCUGAGACACGAAAGCGUGGGUAGCAAACAGG